GACGAACGCUGGCGGCGUGCCUAAUACAUGCAAGUAGAACGCUGAAACUUGGUGCUUGCACCGAGCGGAUGAGUUGCGAACGGGUGAGUAACGCGUAGGUAACCUGCCUGGUAGCGGGGGAUAACUAUUGAAACGAUAGCUAAUACCGCAUAAGAGUAGAUGUUGCAUGACAUUUGCUUAAAAGGUGCAAUUGCACCACUACCAGAUGGACCUGCGUUGUAUUAGCUAGUUGGUGGGGUAACGGCUCACCAAGGCGACGAUACAUAGCCGACCUGAGAGGGUGAUCGGCCACACUGGGACUGAGACACGGCCCAGACUCCUACGGGAGGCAGCAGUAGGGAAUCUUCGGCAAUGGACGGAAGUCUGACCGAGCAACGCCGCGUGAGUGAAGAAGGUUUUCGGAUCGUAAAGCUCUGUUGUAAGAGAAGAACGAGUGUGAGAGUGGAAAGUUCACACUGUGACGGUAUCUUACCAGAAAGGGACGGCUAACUACGUG
rnacentral:rRNA from 1 species